rnacentral:lncRNA from 1 species
UUUUUUUCUCAAAACACUAUAAUUACAUGGCACUCUAACGAUGAGAUUGAAACAGUUUUUUAUUUUUUAUUUUUCUUUCGAAGUUUCCACCAAAGUAUCACAUUGUUAUAUACAAGUUUUAUUCUCAGCUACAACAGUUGACUAACCUCCACAAUUAACUAUUCUGAUGUUUGCACGAAUUAAAAUAUAGUAUAUUAGCAUGAUACUUU